rnacentral:rRNA from 1 species
AGUGAACGCUGGCGGUAGGCCUAACACAUGCAAGUCGAACGGCAGCACAGUAAGAGCUUGCUCUUCGGGUGGCGAGUGGCCGAAGGGUUGGGAAAACAUCCGAAUCCUCUUUUUUCUUGGGGAUAAAGGAGGGAAACUUACGCCUAUACCCCAUACGACCUACCGGUGGAAGCCAGGGAUUCUCGGACCUUGGGCCGCUUAAUUAGCCGAUGUCGGAUUAGCUAGUUGGCGGGGUAAAGGCCCACCAAGGCGACGAUCCGUAGCUGGUCUGAGAGGAAGAUCAGCCACACUGGAACUGAGACACGGUCCAGACUCCUACGGGAGGCAGCAGUGGGGAAUAUUGGACAAUGGGCGCAAGCCUGAUCCAGCCAUACCGCGUGGGUGAAGAAGGCCUUCGGGUUGUAAAGCCCUUUUGUUGGGAAAGAAAAGCAGCAGGUUAAUACCCCGCUGUUCUGACGGUACCCAAAGAAUAAGCACCGGCUAACUUCGUG